rnacentral:tRNA from 1 species
AAGGAUUUAGGUUAAAAAAACCUGUGACCUUCAAAGUCACCAUUAAAAUUAAAUUUUAAGCCUUA